UCUCCCCAUUCAGCCAUUUCCCUUUAUUUCUUCCUUUUAGAAGCAAGGUUAUCGGGUCUAACAUCACAUCCAAACAUUUCAGCACUAGCAUUAUACGGGAUGCUCCAAGGUCAGCGCCUGCAGCUGUAAACUCAUUAGUCUUGUCUUUUGUGAGAGAAGAAAGCCUCUUCAUUCCUCUCUCGCCCCCUUCCCCCCUAAUUAAAAUUAAAGUAUUUCCUGGCCAAAAGUCAUUUCUGCAUUCAUUCAUCUCAAUUCUUUUCUGUUUGGAUAAACCACCCUCUGGUACUCCGAGGGUGUUAUGUAUACAAACUAUAAACUCUUAAUGGUCCUGCAGUGUGUUAUGACUGGCCUAAAGAGCUAAAGCAGGCUCUGAAAAAAAAGUGGUUCUUGGCAACGCCGUGGAUGGAGUUCAGGCUCAUCAGUCAUAUGCAAUUAGAGAUUAAAAGCGCUUGAUGGACUAUAGGGGAGAGCAGCACGGAGGGAGAUUAGGAAUGUAGGAGAGAAAAGGCAAACAAAAGCUUUUAUCUCGGCGCAGCAGUUGCUACUACAAAAGCAGCAGUAGGAUAGUCCUCAUUUUCCGGAGGCACCCACAGCCUUUCCCGGCUCAAGGGCCCGGGCUUGCUGAUUGCAGAGCCCCAUCUCCAGCCCGAGGACCACCCACGUCUCAAGUGGGGUGACUCGAGUCCUCAGGGACCACCAGGGCUGGUGCUCAGGGAGGGCACAGGAGGGCUGAUCUUGGGCGCAGGCUUAUACCUCAACCCAGGAUUUACGGGAUCCUGUGGCCAGCUGCCUGCUGACACACUGCCUGGCAAACUCUCCCCAGCUGCUAGCAAGGGUCGAUCUGCCCCAAACAGAGGCACCUGGGAGGCAUCAGGAGCCUGAAGGAGGAAGAGGGAAGAGUAGCCUUUCUUUGUAGACCAGAGGAGUGUUUCCUAGUUGGGCUCCUGCUUCACCAGUGUUGAUUAACCUUGGAUGGGCCAUGAGGCAGUGGGUUUUUCCUUGCAGCAAAACACCACCACUGUUUUGUUAACAGGAUUUGUUUUGAGCUAGGAAAACGCUCAGCCCUCACUGGAAGGCAAAAGCAUAAAUGAGCUGGGUAGAGCAGUCUUGACCUCAAGGUGAAACGCAGAGCAGUCACCAAGGAUUAAGCGCCCUCUGUGCCAUCACAGCAACCGUGUGCUGGAGGCUGUUCUGCUCAUCAUCAGCACCCUCAAGGGUUCACUGCCCUUUGCUGGGUCACUGACUCGGUGGCAAAUUAGAGGAAGGGCUCCAUCAGCUGAGCUGUCAAUGUAGCCUGGCAGGUCUCCUAUGGAAACAAGGACACAGCUUAGGCUGCAAAACUGCGUGAGACUUCAGACUUUCUUCUCUGCGUCUUGAGGCACCUUAAUGCUUUGUGUAAAGGAUGCUGUGAGCCAACUUCUCUGUGCACAGUGGUGACUGCAGCCUAAUAAACUGCUUCCUGUAGUGCCAGGAGACACAGGCUUGACAGGCUUCAAUGAGCCUCGAAUGUCUUUUGAAAGAGAGCAAGAGGACAAGCAUCCGGAGCGCCCUUUCUCUCAGCCAGCCUGGCUCACCUCCCUUGUUCCAUGCAGCCCUGGAAUCACCCCAGCAUGGGAACUGCCUCCCCAAAGUCACAAAAACUCCUGGGUGCAAGCAAGCUGCCACCUCAUUUUCUGCAUCGGUGACUGCUCUUGGCUCACAGCACAGUCUGAGUCCAGGGCUCAGCAGGAUGUGACCCUGCACUUGGCUUCUCCCCGUGAGUCUUGAUUGGUAGCAAAUCCAGGAGGCCAACCCUGCAGCUGCAUGUUAGGGUUCACAGACCGUUUCAGAAGUGAGAGGAUGUGUGAAAUAAAAAACAUUUUCACAUGA